rnacentral:tRNA from 1 species
AUUUAUAUAGUUUAUUUAAAACAUUAUAGUUUCAGUAUAAAAAUAAGAUUUAAUUCUUUAUAAAUA